rnacentral:misc_RNA from 1 species
UCCGUAGGCCAUUUGGCUCAAG